rnacentral:rRNA from 1 species
AUGUUUAGAAGAAAUGUUUAGAAGAAUCUCGUCCGAUCUGUCAAGUUAAGCAACGUUGGGCCUGGUUAGUACUUGGAUCGGAGACGGCCUGGGAAUCCCAGGUGUUGUAGACA